rnacentral:rRNA from 1 species
CCGCACGGGUGAGUAACACGUAUCCAACCUGCCGUCUACUCUUGGCCAGCCUUCUGAAAGGAAGAUUAAUCCAGGAUGGCAUCAUGAGUUCACAUGUACGCAUGAUUAAAGGUAUUUUCCGGUAGACGAUGGGGAUGCGUUCCAUUAGAUAGUAGGCGGGGUAACGGCCCACCUAGUCAACGAUGGAUAGGGGUUCUGAGAGGAAGGUCCCCCACAUUGGAACUGAGACACGGUCCAA